rnacentral:rRNA from 1 species
UACAGGGGGGGGCAAGCGUUGUUCGGAAUUACUGGGCGUAAAGGGCCAGUAGGCGGCCAACUAAGUCCGACGUGAAAUCCCCAGGCUUAACCUGGGAACUGCGUCGGAUACUGGAUGGCUUGAAUUCGGGAGAGGGAUGCAGAAUUCCAGGUGUAGCGGUGAAAUGCGUAGAUAUCUGGAGGAAUACCGGUGGCGAAGGCGGCAUCCUGGACCGACAUUGACGCUGAACGGCGAAAGCUAGGGGAGCAAACCGGGG